UACGUAGGGUGCGAGCGUUUGUCCGGAAUUAUUGGGCGUAAAGAGCUCGUAGGCGGUGUGUCGCGUCGGUCGGUGAAAACUUUCAGCUUAACUGGGAGCUUGCGGUCGAUACGGGCAUCACUGGAGUUCGGCAGGGGAGACUGGAAUUCCUGGUGAUAGCGGUGAAAUGCGCAGAUAUCAGGGAGGGAACACCCGGUGGGCGAAAGGCGG
rnacentral:rRNA from 1 species